ACCGCAGCUGAAGAAAUCAACCCGUAUCCAUCAGUCAGAUUCCCAUCUCCCUUUGUCUUCAACCCUAGCCCCCCUCCCUCUCUCUCUCGACUUCUCUCUCACCAACGUGAUCUCUCUUUCUCUCGCUCUCUCUCUCUCUCUCACACAGACGGUUGCGUGGUUCUCUGUCUCUCUCUUCAGCCGUAGCUCCAAGAUCAGCGUCGGCGUGGGUCUCCAAGAAGGAGAUGGCCUAUGGAAAUGGAAUGUAAUGUAGUGGAUAGAUGGCUUGG